GACGAACGCUGGCGGCGUGCUUAACACAUGCAAAUCGAACGGAAAGGCCCUGCUUGCAGGGUACUCGAGUGGCGAACGGGUGAGUAACACGUGGGUGAUCUGCCCUGCACUUCGGGAUAAGCCUGGGAAACUGGGUCUAAUACCGGAUAGGAGCCAUUUUUAGUGUGAUGGUUGGAAAGUUUUUUCGGUGUAGGAUGAGCUCUCGGCCUAUCAGCUUGUUGGUGGGGUAAUGGCCUACCAAGGCGGCGACGGGUAGCCGGCCUGAGAGGGUGGACGGCCACAUUGGGACUGAGAUACGGCACAGACUCCUACGGGAGGCAGCAGUGGGGAAUAUUGCACAAUGGGCGCAAGCCUGAUGCAGCGACGCCGCGGGGGGGAUGACGGUCUUCGGGUUGUAAACUCAUUUCGCUAGGGACGAAGCUUUUUGUGACGGUACCUAGAUAAGAAGCACCGGCUAACUACGUG
rnacentral:rRNA from 1 species